GAAAAAUUGCGUUAUUCAUUAAAUGUGUUGUGAUUACACCUUCAUCAUAACUAAUCGGUUGUUGCUCAAAAAUUGUAUAUCCCGAAUUCAAUUUUGGGUAGUUUUGGGUUGCCAAUAUACAGAUGUGAACUUAAAUUCGAUUAGUCAUGCUCUGUAUAAAAAGUUUGCUGUUGUUGGAAAGCUUUCGACGGGGAUGUCAAAGCAUUCAAGUUUUUCAAUUUCGCUACGGGUGUCACGAUAGUUUCAAUGUUUCAUCGUUAGAAAGUCGAAAUCAUCAUAAGAAUCUCACAAAAGGUAUGUAUUCUCACUAUAUAGCAUCAUUGUUUAACUUUGCUUUGCGAUUUCAGAAAUAUUGUCCACACAAUUGCUGAAUAAGGGUGUUUCCCAUAAUCGGUCUUUACCGCAGCCGGAAAAAGCCAUUGAUUGGAUUCGAAGGUAGCUAGUGCUUGAAAACGCCUGGAUAUGCUAUUCCGGAAAGCUGAAAUAGUGCUUCGGAAGGUUAGCAUUUCCUUUGAUCGGAAUGAUGCUCUGAAGAACCUAUUGCUGCGUAUUUCUUCAAAGCCCCUAUCCGACAGAAUGUAGUCAACGAAAUUUUGCAGUUGAUGAGCCGUCGCCGGAAAACGCAUCUACAGAAUUCCAGCUCUCCGGAAGUCAAUAAGCUGAAGGUUAAAAGCUAGAGGGUUGAUUUAUUCACCGGCAUAAAGGUGAAUGUACUUUCUAUGGACACAAUUCGUCAGGUACACCCAUCCAGGGUCACUCGAGAGGAUGCCAGUAGAAGUACAUGCGGAAUGCCAUUCAAAUCUGCAGGCUUAAAUCUGUUCAAAAGAUAUACUACAUUCUCAGGUGACUGGAUCGUACCGAAGCAAUUCCGUGUCGGAUGUUGGGACUGAUGAGCUCCACUUU